rnacentral:rRNA from 1 species
AUCAACGCUGGCGGCGUGCCUAACACAUGCAAGUCGAACGCGAAAGCCCCGCAAGGGGUAAGUAGAGUGGCAAACGGGUGAGUAACACGUGGGUGACCUGCCUUCGAGUGGGGGAUAACGUCCCGAAAGGGACGCUAAUACCGCAUGACAUCCUGCUUUUGAAAAAGCGGAGAUCAAAGCUGGGGAUCGCAAGACCUAGCGCUUGAAGAGGGGCCCGCGCCUGAUUAGCUAGUUGGUGAGGUAACGGCUCACCAAGGCGACGAUCAGUAUCCGGCCUGAGAGGGCGGACGGACACACUGGGACUGAGACACGGCCCAGACUCCUACGGGAGGCAGCAGUGGGGAAUUGUUCGCAAUAGGCGCAAGCCUGACGACGCAACGCCGCGUGGAGGACGAAGAUCUUCGGGUCGUAAACUCCUGUCGAGCGGGACGAACGCUUCGCGGAUGAAUAAUCCGCGGAAUUGACGGUACCGCUAAAGGAAGCCCCGGCUAACUCCGUG